AUUGAACGCUGGCGGCAUGCCUUACGCAUGCAAGUCGAACGGCAGCACGGGUGCUUGCACCUGGUGGCGAGUGGCGAACGGGUGAGUAAUACAUCGGAACAUGUCCUGUAGUGGGGGAUAGCCCGGCGAAAGCCGGAUUAAUACCGCAUACGAUCUACGGAUGAAAGCGGGGGACCUUCGGGCCUCGCGCUAUAGGGUUGGCCGAUGGCUGAUUAGCUAGUUGGUGGGGUAAAGGCCUACCAAGGCGACGAUCAGUAGCUGGUCUGAGAGGACGACCAGCCACACUGGGACUGAGACACGGCCCAGACUCCUACGGGAGGCAGCAGUGGGGAAUUUUGGACAAUGGGCGAAAGCCUGAUCCAGCAAUGCCGCGUGUGUGAAGAAGGCCUUCGGGUUGUAAAGCACUUUUGUCCGGAAAGAAAUCCUUGGCUCUAAUACAGUCGGGGGAUGACGGUACCGGAAGAAUAAGCACCGGCUAACUACGUGCCAGCAGCCGCGGUAAUACGUAGGGUGCGAGCGUUAAU
rnacentral:rRNA from 1 species